rnacentral:piRNA from 1 species
UNGCUGAGCAUUUGGUUAUGACGGGUGGG